AUUCGAUUUUCAGUCACAGUACAAGAUUUGUUGGGGUUUUUUUAAGACCUCUACCUUAAAGGGGUAAAACGUUCUGUGCCAGUACUUAACGAUAUUGAAGUUUCUCAAACUGAUCACCAUCCAAAUCCAGAAAACAGAGCUGGAGAUGCACAAACACAUCAUCCAGCUCGCUAUACUCGGUUAUGCAACCUCAUCUCCUUACUGCUAACAAUGCUGCUUUCCACCCUACGGCUUCCAACGACAUUAACUGAAGUUUCGGGCCAAAAUCCACCUCCGGGAACUCCUGUGCCACCCAGUGACCCUGUCCCUUUGUAUGGCUACUCGGCCAACUCCAGCCAGCGCUGUAAUUGCCCGAGUUUAGGUACACCUGGCACACAUUUCCUUAACCGGGCACAAAGCAGUUUUUACGUAAGAGCCGAAAAAGGCCACCCGAUUCUCGCAAGGUGACCCUGCCUUGGUGAUCUCCAGAGAGCACUAACAACCCUAACGAUUCUGGGAUCUGCAAAGGCCCUCAUGAGCGACAUUAUUAGGAAGGAAUGUGGUGCCCUGCCACAAGUUGCCCAGAGCAGCUGUGGCUCCUCCUGGAUCCCUGGAAGUGUCCAAGACCAAGCUGGACAGAGUUUGGAGCAAACUGGGACAGUGAAAAGUGUCCCUGCCUAUGGCACGGUGUGGAAUGAGAUUCUGCUGAGGUACAGCAGCCCUUGAGACACGUCUGCCCUCAUCACCAGCUGCACAGGACCGUCAGAACAGGAGAAAGUAACAGCAGUGUCUGUGCUCAGAGCCCUGCUGGCCCUCAGGCUGCUGCCAUCUUCCACCCCACUACAUACAGGAGGUUUUGAGGGGCAGCUAACCAGAACAGGUUACCAGCUUGCUCACUCAGGAUUGCUGCAAAAUAUACAUUUUUGUCUCUGUGUGUGUGAUGGGGAUGCUUUGGAGCACUGUGCCACUGCACUGAGGAUCUGCCCAGGGAAGAACAGAGAUAAAAGGCCUAAAUCAGCUCUUGCUCUUAGGAGGCAAAGGGGCGUUCCUGCAUUAGUGUAUCCCUGAAGGGCAACCUAGGCUUGGGUUUGGAUGUCCGGCAAAAACCUUUAGAAAAAAGGCUUUUGAAGGAUGACUACAAGUCUGAGGACAGGCACUGCAGAGGGAAAAAGCUAAAAAUUAAGAUAAGUUUAAGAUUAAUUAAGUUUAUCCCAAGGAACUAAGUAAAUUGCUAGGAAAAGCCUGACAAAAAUACAAAUGGUCUGUAGGCUCACAUGUUGAUUGUGAAACAGAUAAUGUGAUAAAUAGGUGUGUAUAAUUCUAAAAUAAAACAUAUGGGCUGCUCUGC